rnacentral:rRNA from 1 species
UACGUAGGGGGCUAGCGUUGUCCGGAAUCAUUGGGCGUAAAGCGCGUGUAGGCGGUCCGGUAAGUCCGCUGUGAAAGUCGGGGGCUCAACCCUCGGAUGCCGGUGGAUACUGUCGGGCUUGAGUACGGAAGAGGCGAGUGGAAUUCCUGGUGUAGCGGUGAAAUGCGCAGAUAUCAGGAGGAACACCAAUUGCGAAGGCAGCUCGCUGGGACGUUUACUGACGCUGAGGAGCGAAAGCAUGGGGAGCGAACAGG